AGCCGAAACGCCCACGCGGGCGUCGCGGCGGGUGGUUCCCGUCGCCUGAUGAUGGCAGCCCAAC
rnacentral:hammerhead_ribozyme from 1 species